AGGAGGAACAGCCCCAGUGGCGGGGCCAGCUCUGGAAACCUGGAUUCAGCCCCCGCAGGAACUCCGGAGCUCUCGGUCUGCAGGGCCUGGAGGCUCCGGGGCGGG
rnacentral:pre_miRNA from 1 species